CCUACGGGCGGCAGCAGUGAGGAAUAUUGGUCAAUGGGCGCGAGCCUGAACCAGCCAAGUAGCGUGAAGGAUGACUGCCCUACGGGUUGUAAACUUCUUUUAUAAAGGAAUACAGUGAGGCACGUGUUCCUUUUUGUAUGUACUUUAUGUAUAAGGCUCGGCUAACUCCGUUCCAGCAGCCGCGGUAAUACGGAGGAUCCGAGCGUUAUCCGGGUUUAUUGGGUUUGAAGGGAGCGUAGAUGGGGUGUUAAGUCAGUUGUGAAAGUUUGCGGCUCAACCGUAAAAUUGCAAUUGAGACUGGCAGUCGUGAGUACAGUAGAGGUAGGCGGAAUUCGUGGUGUAGCGGUGAAAUGCUUAGAUAUCACGAAGAACACCGAUUGCGAAGGCAGAUUACUAAACUGCCACUGACAUUGAGGCGCGAAAGUGUGGGUAGCAAACAGGAUUAGAUACCCCUGUAGUC
rnacentral:rRNA from 1 species